rnacentral:rRNA from 1 species
UGGUGAAUUUUGGACAAUGGGGGAAACCCUGAUCCAGCCAUCCCGCGUGUGCAAUGAAGGCCUUCGGGUUGUAAAGCACUUUUGGCAGGAAAGAAACGUCAUGGGUUAAUACCCCGUGAAACUGACGGUACCUGCAGAAUAAGCACCGGCUAACUACGUGCCAGCAGCCGCGGUAAUACGUAGGGUGCAAGCGUUAAUCGGAAUUACUGGGCGUAAAGCGUGCGCAGGCGGUUCGGAAAGAAAGAUGUGAAAUCCCAGAGCUCAACUUUGGAACUGCAUUUUUAACUACCGGGCUAGAGUGUGUCAGAGGGAGGUGGAAUUCCGCGUGUAGCAGUGAAAUGCGUAGAUAUGCGGAGGAACACCGAUGGCGAAGGCAGCCUCCUGGGAUAACACUGACGCUCAUGCACGAAAGCGUGGGGAGCAAACAGG